GGUCACUGGCAUCCAGGGAAGGCUGAGGGUUUGCCGUCAAGCGUUCACUUGUGGGAUAGAGCUGUGCUCUGGGAGCAGCGGUCCCAGCUACAUUGAACCCUGAGCGGCGCUGUCCUUUGCAGUCCUGAGAGUGCCGUCGGAAGGUGAGGGUACAGCACUGCCUCCCAGGCAGAUAUACCUGAGGAAACGGAGAACCGUGGCUGGCCCUCCUCGAGCACAACCAUGUGGUCCUGGACAGACAGAAGGCACCCCAUAUCUCUCAUAUUCUUUGUCACUCCAAACCACCCUUGCACAAUGAUGGCAACAUCUAUGCACACCUGAGUGGGAGAGGAUUCCCUGAGGAUCAUCUUUUGAGCGAGUGCUCACUUCAAACUUGAAUAUCCUUGUGGAGAGAAGACAGAAGGACUGCAGAACUCAUAGCAGUGGGGAGGGUAGGUGCUGGGCAAGAGGAUCUCUCUAUCUCUUUCUGCCUGAUAU
rnacentral:lncRNA from 12 species